UACGUAGGGUCCGAGCGUUGUCCGGAAUUACUGGGGCGUAAAGAGCUCGUAGGUGGUUUUGUCGCGUUGUCCGUGAAAACUCACAGCUCAACUGUGGGCGUGCGGGCGAUACGGGCAGACUGGAGUACUGCAGGGGAGACUGGAAUUCCUGGUGUAGCGGUGGAAUGCGCAGAUAUCAGGAGGAACACCGGUGGCGAAGGCGGGUCUCUGGGCCGAUACUGACGCUGGAGGAGCGAAAGCCGUGGGGAGCGAAACAGG
rnacentral:rRNA from 1 species